rnacentral:rRNA from 1 species
AACAGGAUUAGAUACCCUGGUAGUCCACGCCGUAAACGAUGUCGACUUGGAGGUUGUGCCCUUGAGGCGUGGCUUCCGGAGCUAACGCGUUAAGUCGACCGCCUGGGGAGUACGGCCGCAAGGUUAAAACUCAAAUGAAUUGACGGGGGCCCGCACAAGCGGUGGAGCAUGUGGUUUAAUUCGAUGCAACGCGAAGAACCUUACCUACUCUUGACAUCCAGAGAACUUAGCAGAGAUGCUUUGGUGCCUUCGGGAACUCUGAGACAGGUGCUGCAUGGCUGUCGUCAGCUCGUGUUGUGAAAUGUUGGGUUAAGUCCCGCAACGAGCGCAACCCUUAUCCUUUGUUGCCAGCGGUUAGGCCGGGAACUCAAAGGAGACUGCCAGUGAUAAACUGGAGGAAGGUGGGGAUGACGUCAAGUCAUCAUGGCCCUUACGAGUAGGGCUACACACGUGCUACAAUGGCAUAUACAAAGAGAAGCGACCUCGCGAGAGCAGGCGGACCUCAUAAAGUAUGUCGUAGUCCGGAUUGGAGUCUGCAACUCGACUCCAUGAAGUCGGAAUCGCUAGUAAUCGUGGAUCAGAAUGCCACGGUGAAUACGUUCCCGGGCCUUGUACACACCGCCCGUCACACCAUGGGAGUGGGUUGCAAAAGAAGUAGGUAGCUUAACCUUCGGGAGGGCGCUUACCACUUUGUGAUUCAUGACUGGGGUGAAGUCGUAACAAGGUAACC